rnacentral:lncRNA from 1 species
GGGUUCCCGCCUCAGGCCCCAGGAGGCGAGGUGUACAGUCCGGUAAAGGAAUGGAGCGCCCGCCGAGCGGUCGCUGCGGGGGUAGCCUCGCGGAGGUUGUUUGGCCUCUCACGGCCCCCGUAUCCAACGGAAGAGGAGUCCGUUGGAAUAGACGACCCGGAUUUCGGCUGUUGUAGGGCAGUUCCUGGGCUCCCGCGGAGCGAUGAGACGUUGUGAAUUAGAGGGUCCCAGGAACUCACAGUAUGCUCUAAAAAGGAGAGGGGCAAGAGCUCUGAGUGAGUACAUCCCGUUGGCCCGUGGGAUUUCUUGCCCUAUGGAAAGGAACAUGGACGGAAGAGAAUCAGGUGCUCAGAGCCCUAGACUGGGGCUCCUCUUGCCCCAGUCUUGAGGCAGUUCUAAAGAGGUAACAUUUGAGCCAAAGACCUAAAUGAAGUAUGGGAGGAAGCCCUGUGG